rnacentral:rRNA from 1 species
UACACACCGCCCGUCACACCACGAAAGCUUGUUGUACCAGAAGUCGCUGGUCCAACCCGCAAGGGAGGAAGGCGCCGAAGGUAUGAUAGGUGAUUGGGGUG